rnacentral:rRNA from 1 species
GAUCAAGUGUGAGCUGACGCAGCGACGCCGCGUGAGGGAGAGGCCUUCGGGUUGUAACCCCUGUUGCGGGGACGACUGGAGAGGGUACCCUGCAAAAAGGCCCCGGGUAAAUCUGUGCGACCACCCGCGGGAAUUUACGG